rnacentral:rRNA from 1 species
AAACUUUCGACAACGGAUCUCUUGGUUCUGGCAUCGAUGAAGAACGCAGCGAAAUGCGAUAAGUAAUGUGAAUUGCAGAAUUCAGUGAAUCAUCGAAUCUUUGAACGCACAUUGCGCCCCUUGGUAUUCCGAGGGGCAUGCCUGUUCGAGCGUCAUU